rnacentral:rRNA from 1 species
UUUUAUGGAGAGUUUGAUCCUGGCUCAGGAUGAACGCUGGCGGCGUGCCUAAUACNNNCUGUCUCUUAUACACAUCUSACGCKGCCKACGAGAWYNNACUAYSCKYYUCGUSGGCWSSGUCAGAUGUGUAUAAGAGACAGNNNNACCUACCUAUAAGACUGGGAUAACUUCGGGAAACCGGAGCUAAUACCGGAUAAUAUUUUGAACCGCAUGGUUCAAAAGUGAAAGACGGUCUUGCUGUCACUUAUAGAUGGAUCCGCGCUGCAUUAGCUAGUUGGUAAGGUAACGGCUUACCAAGGCAACGAUGCAUAGCCGACCUGAGAGGGUGAUCGGCCACACUGGAACUGAGACACGGUCCAGACUCCUACGGGAGGCAGCAGUAGGGAAUCUUCCGCAAUGGGCGAAAGCCUGACGGAGCAACGCCGCGUGAGUGAUGAAGGUCUUCGGAUCGUAAAACUCUGUUAUUAGGGAAGAACAUAUGUGUAAGUAACUGUGCACAUCUUGACGGUACCUAAUCAGAAAGCCACGGCUAACUACGUGCCAGCAGCCGCGGUAAUACGUAGGUGGCAAGCGUUAUCCGGAAUUAUUGGGCGUAAAGCGCGCGUAGGCGGUUUUUUAAGUCUGAUGUGAAAGCCCACGGCUCAACCGUGGAGGGUCAUUGGAAACUGGAAAACUUGAGUGCAGAAGAGGAAAGUGGAAUUCCAUGUGUAGCGGUGAAAUGCGCAGAGAUAUGGAGGAACACCAGUGGCGAAGGCGACUUUCUGGUCUGUAACUGACGCUGAUGUGCGAAAGCGUGGGGAUCAAACAGGAUUAGAUACCCUGGUAGUCCACGCCGUAAACGAUGAGUGCUAAGUGUUAGGGGGUUUCCGCCCCUUAGUGCUGCAGCUAACGCAUUAAGCACUCCGCCUGGGGAGUACGACCGCAAGGUUGAAACUCAAAGGAAUUGACGGGGACCCGCACAAGCGGUGGAGCAUGUGGUUUAAUUCGAAGCAACGCGAAGAACCUUACCAAAUCUUGACAUCCUUUGACAACUCUAGAGAUAGAGCCUUCCCCUUCGGGGGACAAAGUGACAGGUGGUGCAUGGUUGUCGUCAGCUCGUGUCGUGAGAUGUUGGGUUAAGUCCCGCAACGAGCGCAACCCUUAAGCUUAGUUGCCAUCAUUAAGUUGGGCACUCUAAGUUGACUGCCGGUGACAAACCGGAGGAAGGUGGGGAUGACGUCAAAUCAUCAUGCCCCUUAUGAUUUGGGCUACACACGUGCUACAAUGGACAAUACAAAGGGCAGCGAAACCGCGAGGUCAAGCAAAUCCCAUAAAGUUGUUCUCAGUUCGGAUUGUAGUCUGCAACUCGACUACAUGAAGCUGGAAUCGCUAGUAAUCGUAGAUCAGCAUGCUACGGUGAAUACGUUCCCGGGUCUUGUACACACCGCCCGUCACACCACGAGAGUUUGUAACACCCGAAGCCGGUGGAGUAACCUUUUAGGAGCUAGCCGUCGAAGGUGGGACAAAUGAUUGGGGUGAAGUCGUAACAAGGUAGCCGUAUCGGAAGGUGCGGCUGGAUCACCUCCUUUCUAA